GUGAAAUUCUCAAGUGAAGCUUGAAGAGUGGAUAUAUGUAUGAAGUUGCAUUGAAUUACUAUAAAUUUGUUGUCUUUGUGUUAUAUCUUAUUUUACUUGUUUUUCUUAUUUUUAAUUCUUGCAUUACUUCUCUUGUAUCUCAAUUUUAUUGCUGGAUAAAUCAUAUACCUCAUAAUCACUAAAAAUUGUUUAACUUGAAGCAAGUAAUUAUUC
rnacentral:lncRNA from 1 species